rnacentral:rRNA from 1 species
CAGCAUCCGCGGUAAUACGUAGGGUGCAAGCGUUAAUCGGACUUACUGGGCGUAAAGCGUGCGCAGGCGGUUCGGAAAGAAAGAUGUGAAAUCCCAGAGCUUAACUUUGGAACUGCAUUUUUAACUACCGGGCUAGAGUGUGUCAGAGGGAGGUGGAAUUCCGCGUGUAGCAGUGAAAUGCGUAGAUAUGCGGAGGAACACCGAUGGCGAAGGCAGCCUCCUGGGAUAACACUGACGCUCAUGCACGAAAGCGUGGGGAGCAAACAGGAUUAGAUACCCUGGUAGUCCACGCCCUAAACGAUGUCAACUAGCUGUUGGGGCCUUCGGGCCUUGGUAGCGCAGCUAACGCGUGAAGUUGACCGCCUGGGGAGUACGGUCGCAAGAUUAAAACUUAAAGGAAUUGGCGGG